rnacentral:rRNA from 1 species
GGUUAGUUAGUACUACUGGCUCAGGACAAACGCUGGCGGCGUGCCUAACACAUGCAAGUCGAACGGACCCUUCGGGGUUAGUGGCAGACGGGUGAGUAACACGUAGGUAAUGUACCUUCUUGCUGGGGAUACCUACCCGAAAGGGUGGUUAAUACCGAAUGGUCUCGCGCUGCGGCAUCGCGGUGCGAGUAAAGUGAUUUAGCGCGAGAGGAUCAGCCUGCGGGCCAUCAGCUGGUUGGUGGGGUAACGGCCUACCAAGGCAUCGACGGUUAGCCGGUCUGAGAGGAUGAUCGGCCACACUGGAACUGAGAGACGGUCCAGACUCCUACGGGAGGCAGCAGUGAGGAAUAUUGCGCAAUGGGCGGAAGCCUGACGCAAGCGACGCCGCGUGAGGGAUGAAGGUUUUCGGAUCGUAAACCUCUGUUAAGCAGGGAAGAGAACGGACGGUACCUGCUGAGGAAGCAUCGGCUUACUACGUGCCAGCAGCUGC